AUUGAACGCUGGCGGCGUGCCUAACACAUGCAAGUCGAGCGGUAACAGGUGUAGCAAUACAUGCUGACGAGCGGCGAACGGGUGAGUAAUGCUUCGGAAUCUACCCAAUGGUGGGGAAUAACCAGCCGAAAGGUUGGCUAAUACCGCAUACGUCCCACGGGAGAAAGCAGGGGAUCGCAAGACCUUGCGCCAAUGGAUGAGCCGAAGUCGGAUUAGCUAGUUGGAGGGUAACGGCCUACCAAGGCGACGAUCCGUAGCUGGUCUGAGAGGACGACCAGCCACACUGGGACUGAGACACGGCCCAGACUCCUACGGGAGGCAGCAGUGGGGAAUAUUGGACAAUGGGGGAAACCCUGAUCCAGCGACGCCGCGUGUGUGAAGAAGGCC
rnacentral:rRNA from 1 species